AAUAACGAAAAAGGAGUAUACAUGCAUGUGGUGCAGUUCCGAGCACUUUCCAGCUAGGUUGCGUUGGUGUCUUUCCGUGAACCCGUCCAAAUUGUUGUUGUACACGACUGUUACGGGACCUUUCCUACGUAAGGUGAAUGGAGACUUGUGCAUGGAUUUUGUAGGUGCACAUAGGACCCUUGCCGUGCACGUCCCCAUACGAAGCAUGCAUCGACAACUGCUACAAAUACACGACCAUCGCCUCUCCCUGAACGUCUG
rnacentral:lncRNA from 1 species